rnacentral:rRNA from 1 species
GAUGAACGCUAGCGAUAGGCUUAACACAUGCAAGUCGAGGGGCAGCAUGGUCUUAGCUUGCUAAGACUGAUGGCGACCGGCGCACGGGUGCGUAACGCGUAUGCAACUUGCCUCACAGAGGGGGAUAACCCGUCGAAAGACGGACUAAUACCGCGUACACUUGGGAUAGGGCAUCCUGACCCAAGGAAAUGAAAUUCGCUGUGAGAUAGGCAUGCGUCCCAUUAGCUAGUUGGUGAGGUAACGGCUCACCAAGGCGACGAUGGGUAGGGGAACUGAGAGGUUGAACCCCACACUGGUACUGAGACACGGACCAGACUCCUACGGGAGGCAGCAGUGAGGAAUAUUGGUCAAUGGGCGAGAGCCUGAACCAGCCAAGUCGCGUGAAGGAUGACUGUCUUAUGGAUUGUAAACUUCUUUUAUACGGGAAUAACAAGAGCCACGUGUGGCUCCCUGCAUGUACCGUAUGAAUAAGCAUCGGCUAACUCCGUG